GCUUCUGCCUCGUGGCUUCGUGUGGUCUUCGUGUGUGCGCUCGUGUGUGCGUUUCCACUACACAUUUUCCGUGCGAUUUUUCAACAGUUUGCAAAAAAGCAGUGUUUUUGCGCGCCGAACACGAGGCCUCAGCUCCAGCUUUCAGUCUGUGUUCGCUGUCUGUUGCUUGCGGUUCGACUUUAGCCAGCAACCGGGGCUCCCCAACAGCAGCAGCAGAGGCAGAAGCAGAAGCAGAAGCAUUCCGUUCCUCGAUCCGUUGCAUCCACACAGCGUGCGUUGAACAUUUUUUUUGAGAAUUGUUUUUAAAUCAAAAGGAGCCACCUAUCAGAGAAGAAGUUGGAAAAAAAUAUGAAAUAAAACUACGAAAAAAAGUAAAAAAAAAAUAAAAUAAAACUUGUGAAAACAAAAAAAUCGUAAAAAAAACACGUAGAACCGUACUCCUGGCUCGACUCAGGAACGUCGCUUUUUUGGUAUCCUACGUUCGACCAAACGGAAAGAAGUUGCCACACCACCGCCGACCUACCGCCCGAAUGGCG
rnacentral:misc_RNA from 1 species